GUAGGGUGCAGGCGUUAAUCGGAAUUACUGGGCGUAAAGCGUGCGCAGGCGGUUUGCUAAGACAGGUGUGAAAUCCCCGGGCUUAACCUGGGAACUGCGCUUGUAACUGGCAAGCUAGAGUGUGGCAGAGGGGGGUGGAAUUCCACGUGUAGCAGUGAAAUGCGUAGAGAUGUGGAGGAACACCGAUGGCGAAGGCAGCCCCCUGGGCUAACACUGACGCUCAUGCACGAAAGCGUGGGGAGCAAACAGGAUUAGAUACCCUGGUAGUCCACGCCCUAAACUAUGUCAACUGGUUGUCGGGGAAGCAAUUCCUUGGUAACGAAGCUAACGCGUGAAGUUGACCGCCUGGGGAGUACGGCCGCAAGGUUAAA
rnacentral:rRNA from 1 species